AACGGCCAUACCAUGCUGAAUAUACCGGUUCUCGUUAGAUCACCGAAGUAAUCAUUGGGCACGGUCAGUACUUGGGUGGGUGACCACUUGGGAACACCGUGUGCCGUU
rnacentral:rRNA from 1 species